AUAUUUUAUUUGUACUUUUUAUUUUGCUAAAUGUACCCAUGCUAAUUAUAUGUACCCAUUCAUGUAAACUUUUUAAUCAUAAAAUGUACUCAUUCUUAAAUAUACCAAUUUGUUAUAUGUAAAAUGUACCCUUUUUUUUUAUAUAAAAUCUAUUCAAUUUUUUUUCUAAUCCAUUUUUAAACUUAUAUGGGUACAUUUUUU
rnacentral:lncRNA from 1 species